rnacentral:rRNA from 1 species
AAUCACUGGGCUUAAAGGGUGCGCAGGCGGACCUGUAAGUGCUUUGUGAAAUCCCAUGGCUCAACCAUGGAAUUGCUUGGCAUACUGCAGGUCUUGAGCCCGACAGAGGUCGUCGGAACUCUAGGUGGAGCGGUGAAAUGCGUAGAUAUCUAGAGGAACGCCAAAGGUGAAGACAAGCGACUGGGUCGGUGCUGACGCUCAGGCACGAAAGCGUGGGGAGCGAACGGG